AUGAAAAAGAAAGAAGACAUAUAAAUCAUGCAGAUUACAUGAUGUCAGCCGAGUGCAAAUGACAUUAACGGCAACUUUAGAUGUGAUAUUUAUUAGCAUCAGUUGCAGUACAUGCUGAAGGAAUAUUAAACAUAAAGACUGCAAUUUCUGCUCUCCUUAAGAUCACACAAACAAAUCAAAGCAUCAUUUUGUGCAAUGAGUAAAUAUCCAGAAUUGACAUUUUUAAUAUUCUACACUUCGUUCCCCUGCCAGUGCUCAGAGAUCCCUCUGAUAAUUGAUUAUUCAGUCAUCUCUCAUUCUAGUCAAACAGAGAGCAAGCGUGCAGCAUUAUUCCGGCCUGCAUGCAAAAAUACACCUGCCAAACGCAGGCUCCAACAAACACAUGAAAGGAGCCACACAUCAAAGCCUGAGUGUGCUCCACCGUACGUCUCAAUACCAUCUUCCCGUAAAUGUAAGUGCGCCUGGAAGAAUUGCACGAUCUUGUAACCAUUGAGUGUAACUGCUCUCAGAGGGGCUGUAACUGUACGGGAGGAAAGGCAAAAUGAACACCAAUGCAAUAAAACAGAUUUCAAGCACUUUAUCACACUCUAAACAUCCAACGGACAAAAUAUCUCCAGGCUAGGGGCAUUUGAGAUCUCGAGAGCAUGUUUUAGCCUCAAGCAUUUUGGCUACUUUUUGAAUUUGCUUACCACACAUAUUCAGUUUUCUGCAAUACAAACCAAGACAUUUGGAGGGAAAAUAACCUACAUACAACAAUGCAACAUGGCAUUUGUCUUUGUCUUUUUUCAACAUCAUAAGUUCAAACAGGAGCCUUUGGUGAUGGACUACCGUUUGAUCUUCCACUAUGCCAGGGUCUGUGAUGCAUCGCUCCCCUGAUUGCCGCUCUGUGCUAAUGAGCUGAAUUUAACUGGCAGGAGGCGCGAGAGAAGAACUGAAUACUGUGAGCUGUUAAUAGGUUUUACAGCAUAACUCACACAGACACUAAACUAGGAAAAUCUAAAAGUCCUACCAUAUGUUUUCACAAAUCUGUAAUUGAAGAUGAAGAUCAACAGCAUUAAUUAGAACAAACGGCAACACUGACUGACUUAAGAAGAGUCGUGACAGUGGUUCUCAACUGGUGUGUCAAAGGUUACUGAUGGGAACAGAGAAAUUCAAAUAAUAAAAUGCAAUUCCCCAUAUAACCGUGUAUAGUUAGGAUAGCAAAAUAAAUAGGCUAGAUAGAUAUGGGAAAACAAUUCCCAUAUCUUUUGUUGUUGAUGUUAAAGGCUGUGUUUCCAAUCAAACACAUAGAGUCUGUUGAUGCAAAUGCAUCUGUCACUUAUAGUGUUACUGUACUUUAAAUAGUAAAGCAGUUCUCGCCCCCCAUUGACUGCCAUAGUAUUUUUUUUCCUACUAUGGUAGUCAAUGGGGUGCGCGAUCUGCUUGGUUACAAACAUUCUUCCAAAUAUCUUCUUUUGUGUACAGCAGAACAAAGAAAUUUAUACAGGUUUGGAAAAACUUGAGGGUGAGUAAAUGAUGAAAGAAUUUUGAUUUUUGGGUAAACUAUCCCUUUAAUAAAUGUCACAAUUUAAAAUAUAUUUUUUGUUUCUUUUUAUGAAAAAGUAUUUUUUGUACUGUGUUGGGUCAGCACUUGAUAUCCCAUGUAAAAUGUGGGUCCUGAAGAAACAUCAGCUGAUACGACACAUUUCAAAAUGAGAGCUGAUAAAUGACGGAGCACUGAGCGGAUGGAAAGUGACACUUAUAUUGCGCGCCAAAUGUAGCAACAACUUUGUUCAAAGCACGUCAGUGAGAGGAACAAAGUUUUGUCUCUCACAAACCACACAUCCUGGUUGCACAUUAAAAUAGACCCAGUGAUGCAAUCAAGUGCAACUUCCCUUACUGUUAUGUCAUAUGCAAAAUAAGACACUAACUAGGAGAGCACAGGGUUUUAUGUGCUUCUACAUGAUUCAAUACUGAACAUCUGUUUUCCUUACUGCUCAUCUGACCUUUACAAAAAUGUACUGUGGUGAAACCAUGGCAAUGAAGCUUUCUUUCAUAAUACCAAAAAAGUACCAUGAUAUUUACUAUGAUAAUAAUACCAUGGUGUCCUAUACUUUGACAAAUACCAUGUAGGGUUAGGCGCCCAUAUUCAUAUACCAUGCUAUUUACACUCCAAGAAGUUCAGUAAACACCAUUGUAAAAACCAUGGUACUUUCAUUAUAUGAAAAAGCUUUUCAUUAAUGAAUGUCAUAAACCUCAGAGUGAUCUGACUUUAGAUUGUGUGCUUUUAAUUGCACACCGUGGUAGACAAAUCCACAUGUGGUGGCAGUAAAACAAGCAAAUCCAACACUUUUCACACAGAGACAUGAGCUGCCUAUUCCGCUGAGUCUUGGGGUCUUUUAAUCUGCUCAGUCUGUGGAAAGUGCUCUUGAUUGCAACGAUAGGAUGUUCAAAAUUCUCAGAACAAAGACAGAACAUGGGCAUGAUGCUCAAACUGCACUGGCUCUGGAAAUGAAAACAAGAUGGGGAAAAAUUACCCGCCCUCAAUCACCCCCCUCCGCACUCUGAUCUUUUCAUGCGUCGAACACAAAUUAACUCCCCUGAGAGGUGUGUUGAAAAGGGGCAAGAUGAGACGGGGGAGGGGACAGACAGACGGAUGGGGUGUGUCCCUCUUUGCUGCAAAGAGCCUCAAUCGUCUGAUGUACCUCAAAGACUUGUGCUGUCACAACAUAUCGGUGCAUAAAAGUCCAAAACAUUUCAUGCAAUCUCUUGCAUUAGGUUGUUAUCAAAUUGUCGUCAAGCAUCCUAGGCAGUUCAGGUCAACUACUCUCAAGAGUAUCAUGCUGAGCCAAGUUAAAUCACAUAAACAUGUUUAUUGCAGCUAUCUGACCAAUAAAACACCUGGUUUAAUGGCACAGACAAAUUAAGAAGUGCUGAUCCUUUAGCAGACUGGAGACAGAUCAUCUUAAGCAGAAGCCAUCUUGUUUCCGCCCAUCCUGCUGCUGCAGAGAUCAGAUCACCUUCAGCGAUGAAGAAAAGGUGGAGUAUUUCCUAGUGUCUGCGGAGGUUUCUGUGUGUGUGAGUGCAUCAGCUGAGUCUCAGUCUCAGUAGCGUGUGACACUACUCCGCACGCCUGUCUGAUCGCAUUAGACACUGAGACGGUCAUUCUGGACGUAACCCCCCCGGCCCCUCUGCACGGCAGGAAAUGGGGCCACCUUGCCUGAUGCCAUGGCAACCUGACAGGAAGAAGCAAAAAGGACCAACCCUUGGGGUUUCCUUUUGCAUAUGUGUGUGAUGGGACAUACAGACAUAGUGAGAGAGAGAGAGCCGGGAAAGAGCUGAAUGAAAGAAUGAAUGAAAGACAGAGAGAACCACCUGAGUGGGUUAGUGAAUCUGGAAUAUAAAUACACAGUUGAGAGAUUACAGUAAUAAGGCCCUAAAGGAAACAAAGAUGAAAUAGAUGAAUGAAUCUCUUUAAUCUCUUGGAACUAUCCAGUUAAGA